rnacentral:tRNA from 1 species
GGAGCGUUUCGUCACCGGUGUGGCGCCUGGACUUCAAAUCCAGUGGGCGGGUUAACACUCGCCGGUAGGUUCGACUCCUAUACGCUUCC